rnacentral:lncRNA from 1 species
UCUUCCCCGGUAUUUCGUUCCUGAUUUUCACUCUUUUGAAUUUCUUAUUGUGGGGUAGUCACAGCACAGGAGCAAUUCCUUUCUCUUUGUUUGUCAUCCUCAUUUUGCUGUGGUUCUGUAUAUCUGUUCCCCUCACCCUCGUUGGCGGCUACUUUGGUGCCAAGGCACCUCAUAUUGAAUACCCCGUUCGAACAAACCAAAUCCCCCGAGAAAUCCCACCACAGAAGUAUCCAUCAUGGCUGUUGGUUCUUGGGGCUGGUACCCUUCCUUUUGGCA